rnacentral:rRNA from 1 species
GACGGAGGAUGCAAGCGUUACCCGGAAUGAUUGGGCGUAAAGCGUCCGCAGGUGGCAGUUCAAGUCUGCUGUCAAAGACCGGGGCUUAACUUCGGAAAGGCAGUGGAAACUGAACAGCUAGAGUAUGGUAGGGGCAGAGGGAAUUCCUGGUGUAGCGGUGAAAUGCGUAGAGAUCAGGAAGAACAUCGGUGGCGAAGGCGCUCUGCUGGACCAUAACUGACACUCAGGGACGAAAGCUAGGGGAGCGAAUGGG